ACUCCUACGGGAGGCAGCAGUGGGGAAUAUUGCACAAUGGGCGCAAGCCUGAUGCAGCCAUGCCGCGUGUGUGAAGAAGGCCUUCGGGUUGUAAAGCACUUUCAGUCGUGAGGAAGGUAGUGUAGUUAAUAGCUGCAUUAUUUGUACGUUAGCGACAGAAGAAGCACCGGCUAACUCCGUGCCAGCAGCCGCGGUAAGUACGGAGGGUGCGAGCGUUAAUCGGAAUUACUGGGCGUAAAGCGCAUGCAGGUUGGUUUGUUAAGUCAGAUGUGAAAGCCCGGGGCUCAACCUCGGAAUAGCAUUUGAAACUGGCAGACUAGAGUACUGGUAGAGGGGGGUUAGAAUUUCAGGUGUAGCGGUGAAAUGCGUAGAGAAUCUGAAGGAAUACCGGUGGCGAAGGCGGCCCCUGGACAGAUACUGACACUCAGAUGCGAAAGCGUGGGAGACAAACAGGAUUAGACUACCCGUGGUAGACUGUCAAG
rnacentral:rRNA from 1 species